CCCUUAGAUGUUCUGGGCCGCACACGCGCUACACUGAAGGAGGCAGCGUGUACUCCUGGAUCGAAAGAUUUGGGUAACCCGCGAAUCUCCUUCGUGCUAGGGAUUGAGGUUUGCAAUUAUCCUUCAUGAACGAGGAAUUCCCAGUAAGUGCAAGUCAUAAGCUUGCGCUGACUACGUCCCUGCCCUUUGUACACACCGCCCGUCGCUACUACCGAUUGAAUGAUUUAGUGAGGACUUCGGACUGAGUCCAAUGCGGCUUUCGGGCUGCGUUGGUAUUUCGGAAAGAUGUCCAAACUGUAUCAUUUAGAGGAAGUAAAANUCGUANCA
rnacentral:rRNA from 1 species